rnacentral:lncRNA from 1 species
UGUUGCAGGUGUACUUUUUUGUGUGGGGGGUCGAGGAGCAGCAGGUGACCCUUUCAAGAGUAUAGAAUGUUAUAACUACCGCAAAAAUUCCUGGUUUCCAAUUGCUGAAAUGAAUACUCGCAGACGACAUGUUGGAGUAUGUGCAGCUUCAGGUGAGUGCAGUGUUUUCUCUUCUACAGGUGUGCUGUGUCCAUUCAUAUCUACCCCAUGUCAUCAAAUGAGAUAUGUUUAAUUAGGAUGUUUACAUUUUGUGUUCAUACCUCAUUAACCUAACCUACCUUUUGUUCUUCUGGGAUUGUUACAAUAAAGAAUCAGUUAAGUCCAGGUAUCUCAAGUUAAAAAUUGUUUGUAAUCCAGUGUUUCCCCUCCUGAAAAGCCAAAUGUUUGAAUGGCUUUGAAAUUAACAAGCAACUCUGGAGACAUGUUCAUCAGGAGAUCGAACCUUACUACUGUAGCUAUUGUAUUCUUCUUAUUUAGGUCAACUGUUCUGCGUUUAGGUCAAUCCCUUAUUUCAGACGUGGUGUAUCUAGAAUGAUAUAAUGCAAUCUAUCCUGCCUUUUCGUAAUGUAGUAGAGUGGGCUUUCACUGAGAAUUGGCUACUAUUUCUAGUAGAUGAGGCAAGUGCUUAAUGGCUUCAUCAUUGGCUAGUAGUCGUUAUCACUGCUUAUUUUGUCUGGUUGACAAGGGACAUCAUAGUUAAUAUACAACAGUCAUCAGUUCAACCUAAAAUCCACCCAAGAACUGAGCAUAAAAUCAAAUUCCUUAUAUUAUUUAAUUUCAACUUAUUCGGAUUCCCCUUCAAAUGAUGCCGACCAACUUUUGCUUGCCUUCCUUCCUUGUAAGGGUUGAUUAAAAUAUAUGCCAGCCAUGUACAAGGCUUGAUUAGAUUAAUUGCAUUUGCUUGUUGUGGCUUCAUUAUUAUUUCAUUAGGACAGUGCAUUAACAGAAUUAAUUAUGUCAGGCUUCAUGCCUUGUGGUAUUUAGUCUGUGUUUCUAAAUUCUGGAUACAAAUCAAGGUGGGAUCAGUAAUAUUCUUUUUCUUUUAUUCUUUUACUUGUAUCAGUCACUUGACUCCGGUCAUGCUGGAGCACUGCUUUUAGUCGAAUAAAUUGACCCCGGGACUUUGUAAGCCUAGUACUUAUUUCUAUCAAAUCACCUUUGCUGAACUGCUAAGUUACGGCGGAUGUUAACACACCAAUGUCGGCUGUCAAGCGAUGGUGGGAGAACAAAUACAUACAAACAUACAUACGUACAUAUAUAUAUAUAUAUAUAUAUAUAUAUAUAUAUAUAUAUAUAUAUAUAUAUAUAUAUAUAUAUAUAUAUAUAUAUAUAUAUAUAUAUAUAUAUAUAUAUAUAUAUAUAUAUAUAUAUAUAUAUAUAUAUAUAUAUAUAUAUAUAUAUAUAUAUAUAUAUAUAUAUAUAUAUAUAUAUAUAUAUAUAUAUAUAUAUAUAUAUAUAUAUAUAUAUAUAUAUAUGUGUGCUUCUUUCAGUUUCCAUCUACCAAAUCCACUUUGGUCGGCCAGAGACUAUAGCAAAAGACACUUACCCAAGGUGACACGCAGUGGAACUGAACCCAAAACCAUGUGGUUGUGAAGCAAUCUUCUUACCACACAGCCGUCUCUGUGCCUACUACCAAUACUCGUCCUUGCAACCGUGUGACCUUGUGCUUCAACCAGAAAUCAGUAAUAUUUUCAUCAUCAUCAUCAAGGAGGUGAGCUGGCAGAAUCGUUGCUACACUGGGCCAAAUGCUUAGCAGCAUUUUAAUCAUCUUUACAUUCUGAGUUCAAAUUCUGCUGAGGUUGACUUUGCCUUUUAUCCUUUCAGUUGUCGAUAAAAUAAGUACCAGUCAUAUACUGGGGUCGUAAUCAACUUGCCCCUCCACCCAAACUUGCUGGCCUUGUGCUAAAAUUUGAACCUAUUAUUAUUUACUACUACUACUACUACUACUACUACUACUACUACUACUACUAAUAAUAAUAAUAAUAAGGCUGUGAGCUGGCCAAACCAUUAGUAUGCCAGGCAAAUUGCUUAGUACCAUUUCUUCUGAGUUUAAAUUCUAUCGAGGUUGGCUUUGCCUUUCAUCCUUUUAGUGUUAGUGAAAUAAGUACCAGUUAUGCCCUGCUCCCUCAAAUUUUCAGCCUCUGUGUCUAUAGUAGAAGCAAUUGUUCAUCAUCUGGAGAAAUACUGUAGCAGAGUGGAAACAGUACUGACCUCGCAAUUGCUUGCUACUAAAAUUGUGUUAUAUUGAGUAAACUGCAAAUCUACUCUGCCAUUACAGAAUUUGUUCUCCCUCCUCUGCCGGAGAAUAAUUAUAUUUAUGAAUAAAAUUAAGAAAACUUUGUAUUACAAUUUAACGUAAAAAAAAAAAUGUUAAUUUCUGGCUAAUUAUUUUACAGGUCGCCUUUAUGCAAUUGGAGGACAUGAUGGAUUCACACAUCUGAACAGUGGGGAAGUGUUUGAUCCAGUCAAAAACAAGUGGUCAUAUAUUGCCCCUAUGGGAUCCCUCAGGUAAAACACAUCUAUUUCUGUUGGAAUAUCUCUCUUAUUUUCAUGAUGUGAUAGCUUAGUUUUAGAAAGACAUUGUUUGAGAUGUGUGAGAGGCCAGAUGUGGCCAGUUUUAACUUAAAACUGGUAGAAUAUUUGGGGAGGCUAUGGUUGGUCUGAAUGCUAAAAGAUUAAGGCAAUAGAAUAUGAUUUGAGAGAAGUUGACUGCUGUUUCUUGCCAGUUGAAUGGUUAUGUAGAGGUUCCUUUAUUGGUUUGUUUGUUUGCAUGUGAACUGUAGGGUGAUAUGAUGAUGAUAAUGAUGCAGUGCUUGUAUUAUUAUUGAACAUUUUUCUGUGAUAUUUGUCAAAGAUUCUAAUCAAACUGACUUGUAAAAUAUUUUCAGACGUGGAAUUGCCCUGGCCUGUUUAGGAGGUCCAAUCUACGCCAUUGGUGGUUUGGAUGACACAUCCUGCUUCAACACCGUGGAACGAUAUGAUCCUUCGACAGAUGUCUGGACGUUUUUAUCAUCCAUGAAGGUUCCUAGAGGCGGUGUAGGAGUUACGUCACAGAAAGUAA